GUCGACGGCAGCACGGGAGCAAUCCUGGUGGCGAGUGGCGAACGGGUGAGUAAUGUAUCGGAACGUACCUUUCAGUGGGGGAUAACGUAGCGAAAGUUACGCUAAUACCGCAUAUUCUGUGAGCAGGAAAGCAGGGGAUCGCAAGACCUUGCGCUGAUUGAGCGGCCGAUAUCAGAUUAGCUAGUUGGUGAGGUAAAGGCUCACCAAGGCGACGAUCUGUAGCGGGUCUGAGAGGAUGAUCCGCCACACUGGAACUGAGACACGGUCCAGACUCCUACGGGAGGCAGCAGUGGGGAAUUUUGGACAAUGGGCGCAAGCCUGAUCCAGCCAUGCCGCGUGAGUGAAGAAGGCCUUCGGGUUGUAAAGCUCUUUCAGCCGGGAAGAAAACGCAUGGGUUAAUACCCUGUGUGGAUGACGGUACCGGAAUAAGAAGCACCGGCUAACUACGUGCCAGCAGCCGCGGUAAUACGUAGGGUGCGAGCGUUAAUCGGAAUUACUGGGCGUAUAGCGUGCGCAGGCGGUUUGUUAAGAUAGGCGUGAAAUCCCCGGGCUCAACCUGGGAACUGCGUUUAUGACUGGCAGGCUAGAGUAUGGCAGAGGGGGGUGGAAUUCCACGUGUAGCAGUGAAAUGCGUAGAGAUGUGGAGGAACACCGAUGGCGAAGGCAGCCCCCUGGGCCAAUACUGACGCUCAUGCACGAAAGCGUGGGUAGCAAACAGGAUUAGAUACCCUGGUAGUCCACGCCCUAAACGAUGUCAACUAGGUGUUGGGUGGGUAAAACCAUUU
rnacentral:rRNA from 1 species